GGAGCUAUAAAUCUUACCUUAUUUAUUAUUAUUAAAAAGGGAAAGGGCCUUUUCCGCUGGUGCGCAGGAGCGCACUUCCAUUUUCCCUUUACUAGUAGGGGGUCCCGUGGUGCCUAUGUCGCCGCGUUUCCCGGUACUUUUCUUUUAGUGCUUCGACUCGAAGCGAUAGCUUCUAGCUAGUUCAGUGGAAAAGAUGGCUGCGCUCCAGCUCACUCAAGAAUGGGACGGCAGUGGUCCGCCGGCAAGCUCGUUC
rnacentral:lncRNA from 1 species